rnacentral:rRNA from 1 species
GCAUGCUACACAUGCAGUCGAGGGGCUCUUCGGAGUCACUGGCGCACGGGUGAGUAACACGUAGGUCAUCUGCCCCUAUCACAGACAUAACCCCGGGAAACCGGGGCUAAUAUCUGAUGAGGUCGCGAGAUCAAAGCUUAGGCGGAUAGGGAUGAGCCUGCGGCUGAUUAGCUAGUUGGUGAGGUAAUGGCUCACCAAGGCGACGAUCAGUAGCUGGUCUGAGAGGACGAACAGCCACACUGGAACUGAGACACGGUCCAGACUCCUACGGGAGGCAGCAGUGAGGAAUAUUGGUCAAUGGGAGCAAUCCUGAACCAGCAAUGCCGCGUGUGGGAUGAAGGCGCUUCGCGUCGUAAACCACUGUCGGACGGGACGAAAAGAGCUAUAAAGCUCCGAGACGGUACCGUCAAAGGAAGGAUCGGCUAACUACGUGCCAGCAGCCGCGGUAAUACGUAGGAUCCAAGCGUUGUCCGGAUUUACUGGGUAUAAAGGGUGCGUAGGCGGUCUUGUGCGUCAGAGGUGAAAUAUCCGGGCUUAACCCGGAGGGUGCCUUUGAUACGGCAGGACUUGAGUACGAGAGAGGAUGAUGGAAUUCCUGGUGUAGCGGUGAAAUGCGUAGAUAUCAGGAGGAACACCGGUGGCGAAGGCGGUCAUCUGGCUCGUAACUGACGCUGAGGCACGAAAGCGUGGGGAUCAAACAGGAUUAGAUACCCUGGUAGUCCACGCCCUAAACGAUGUAUGCUUGGUGUUGGGUCCGCAAGGACUCAGUGCCGUAGGAAAUCUGAUAAGCAUACCACCUG